rnacentral:rRNA from 1 species
GACGACCGCUGGCGGCGCGCUUAACACAUGCAAGUCGAGCGAAGCGGCGGACGGGUGAGUAACACGUGAAUAACCUGCCUUAGACAUUGGGAUAGCCUCGGGAAACCGGGAUUAAUACCCAAUGGUCUAAGAUGGACUCGCGUCCCAUUAGCUACUUGGUGAUGUAACGGCCCACCAAGGCGACGAUGGGUAGCCGGCCUGAGAAGGUGACCGGCAACAUUGGAACUGAGAAACGGUCCAAACUCUACGGGAGGGAGCAGUGGGGAAUAGUGCACAAUGGAGGGAACUAUGAUGAAGCGACGCCGCGUGAACGAAGAAGGCUUUCGUGUCGUAAAGUUUUUUUAUAUGGGAAGCGGUACCAUAAGAAAAAGCCCCGGCUAACUACGUGCCAGCAGCCGCGGUAAUAC